rnacentral:rRNA from 1 species
GGAGGAUCAUUAUCGUAGGGCUUCGGCCCUGUCGAGAUAGAACCCUUGCCUUUUUGAGUACCUUUCGUUUCCUCGGCAGGCUCGCCUGCCAAUGGGGACCACAAAAAACACUUUGCAGUACCUGUAACAGUCUGAACAAACAAAACAAAAAUUAAAACUUUCAACAACGGAUCUCUUGGUUCUGGCAUCGAUGAAGAACGCAGCGAAAUGCGAUAAGUAGUGUGAAUUGCAGAAUUCAGUGAAUCAUCGAAUCUUUGAACGCACAUUGCGCCCUUUGGUAUUCCUUAGGGCAUGCCUGUUCGAGCGUCAUUUAAACCUUCAAGCUAAGCUUGGUGUUGGGUGACUGUCCGCUUCACUGCGGACUCGCCUCAAAAUUAUUGGCGGCCGGUACAUUGGCUUCGAGCGCAGCAGAAACGCGAACUCGGGCCCGUCGUAUUGGCUCCCAGAAGCUAUCUUCACAAUUUUGACCUCGGAUCAGGUAGGGAUACCCGCUGAACUUAAGCAUAUCAAUAAGCGGAGA